rnacentral:rRNA from 1 species
UACGUAGGGUGCAAGCGUUGUCCGGAAUUAUUGGGCGUAAAGGGCUCGUAGGCGGUUUGUCGCGUCGGGAGUGAAAACCAGGUGCUUAACACCUGGCUUGCUUUCGAUACGGGCAGACUAGAGGUAUGCAGGGGAGAACGGAAUUCCUGGUGUAGCGGUGAAAUUCGUAGAUAUCAGGAGGAACACCGGUGGCGAAAGCGGCGACCUGGCCCGAUACUGACGCUCAUGGACGAAAGCGUGGGGAGCAAACAGG